rnacentral:rRNA from 1 species
AUUGAACGCUGGCGGCAGGCCUAACACAUGCAAGUCGAGCGGAGCGGCGGACGGGUGAGUAAUGCCUAGGAAUCUGCCUGGUAGUGGGGGAUAACGUCCGGAAACGGGCGCUAAUACCGCAUACUAUCAGAUGAGCCUAGGUCGGAUUUGCUAGUUGGUGGGGUAAAGGCCUACCAAGGCGACGAUCCGUAACUGGUCUGAGAGGAUGAUCAGUCACACUGGGACUGGGACACUGUCCAGAAUCCUACGGGAGGCAGCAGUGGGGUAUAUUGGGCAAUGAGCAGAAGCCUGGUCCAGCCAUGCCGCGUGUGUUAGGAAGGUCUUCGGAUUGUAGAGCACUUUAAGUUGGGAGGCGUUACCAACAGAAUAAGCACCGGCUAACUUCGUGCCAGCAGCCGCAGUAAUAC